AACGAACGCUGGCGGCAUGCCUAACACAUGCAAGUCGAACGAGACCUUCGGGUCUAGUGGCGCACGGGUGCGUAACGCGUGGGAACCUGCCCUUAGGUUCGGAAUAACUCCCCGAAAGGGGUGCUAAUACCGGAUAAUGUCUUCGGACCAAAGAUUUAUCGCCUUUGGAUGGGCCCGCGUUGGAUUAGCUAGUUGGUAGGGUAAAAGCCUACCAAGGCGACGAUCCAUAGCUGGUCUGAGAGGAUGAUCAGCCACACUGGGACUGAGACCCGGCCCAGACUCCUACGGGAGGGAGCAGUGGGGAAUAUUGGACAAUGGGCGAAAGCCUGAUCCAGCAAUGCCGCGUGAGUGAUGAAGGCCUUAGGGUUGUAAAGCUCUUUUACCCGGGAUGAUAAUGACAGUACCGGGAGAAUAAGCUCCGGCUAACUCCGUG
rnacentral:rRNA from 1 species